GACGAACGCUGGCGGCGUGCUUAAAACAUGCAAGUCGAACGGUGAAGGGACCAGCUUGCUGGUUCUGGAUGAGUGGCGAACGGGUGAGUAACACGUGAGUAACCUGCCCCCUUCUUCCGGAUAACCGCAUGAAAGUGUGGCUAAUACGGGAUAUUCUGGGUCUGUCGCAUGGCGGGCCCGGGAAAGAUAUUGCUUCGGUGGGGGAUGGGCUCGCGGCCUAUCAGCUUGUUGGUGGGGUGAUGGCCUACCAAGGCGGUGACGGGUAGCCGGCCUGAGAGGGGGGACGGUCACACUGGGACUGAGACACGGACCAGACUCCUACGGGAGGCAGCAGUGGGGAAUAUUGCACAAUGGGCGCAAGCCUGAUGCAGCGACGCCGCGUGAGGGAUGGAGGCCUUCGGGUUGUAAACCUCUUUCGCCAGUGAAGCAGGCCUGCUCCUUGUGGGUGGGUUGACGGUAGCUGGAUAAGAAGCGCCGGCUAACUACGUG
rnacentral:rRNA from 1 species